GCUGGGCGUGGUGGCGCACCCCUGUAAUCCCAGCAGCUGUGGCGGCUGAGGCAGGAGGAUUUCGAGUUCAAAGCCUGCCUGGCCAACUUAGUGAGGCCCUAAACAAUUUAGGGAGACCCUGACUCAA
rnacentral:sRNA from 1 species